AGGCGGAGAGGGAGGAGGUGGUGGUGAAUAAACUGGUGGAGGGGGGGGAGAAUAGACAGGAUGUGGCGGCGGGGGUGGUGAUAAGUAGGGAUAGAUAGGUGGUGGAGGGGAAUGUGGGGGUGGAGGUGGUGAGUGUGGUGGUGAAGGUGGUGGAGGGGAAUGUGGGGGUGGAGGUGGUGAGUGUGGUGGUGAAGGUGGUGGUGGUGAGCUGUAAUAGUAAGGAGUUGGUGGUGGUGGAGAGAAUAAUGGCGGUGGAGGUGGUGGGGAGUUUGGUGGUGGCGGUGGUGGGGGACGUACACAGGGUGGCAAGGGUGAGGGCGGUGGUGGAGAUGGUGGUGGAGGAGAUGGAGGAGGAGGCGGAGGUGAAUAUACUGGUGGUGGAGGAGAAGGCGGUGGUGGAGAAGGUGGUGGAGGAGGUGAGUAUACUGGUGGGGGUGGCGGUGGGGGGGAAGGUGGAGGCGGAGGAGGUGAAUAUACCGGCGGUGGUGGAGGAGGUGAAUAUACUGGCGGUGGUGGUGGAGGAGGUGAAUAUACUGGUGGCGGAGGUGAAGGUGGAGGUGGAGGCGGCGAGUACACAGGGGGUGGGGGAGGUGGAGAGUAAACAGGUGGAGGCAAGUAAACAGGAGGAGAAGGCACUGGCAUUGGUGGUGAAGGUGGAGGAGGAGCAGGCAAAGUAGGAACAAAAGGCUUACAUCUAAAAGAGCUACAAUCAACAGGCUUAAACGGCCUGCAUUGGGCUGCAGAUCUCUGUGACGGCCUACCUGCCAAGCAAUUCUUCG
rnacentral:lncRNA from 1 species